rnacentral:rRNA from 1 species
AACGAACGCUGGCGGCAUGCCUAACACAUGCAAGUCGAACGAGAUCUUCGGGUCUAGUGGCGCACGGGUGCGUAACGCGUGGGAAUCUGCCCUUUGGUUCGGAAUAACAGUUGGAAACGACUGCUAAUACCGGAUGAUGACGAAAGUCCAAAGAUUUAUCGCCAGAGGAUGAGCCCGCGUAGGAUUAGCUAGUUGGGGUGGUAAGGGCGCACCAAGGCGACGAUCCUUAGCUGGUCUGAGAGGAUGAUCAGCCACACUGGGACUGAGACACGGCCCAGACUCCUAUGGGAGGCAGCAGUGGGGAAUAUUGGACAAUGGGCGAAAGCCUGAUCCAGCAAUGCCGCGUGAGUGAUGAAGGCCUUAGGGUUGUAAAGCUCUUUUACCCGGGAUGAUAAUGACAGUACCGGGAGAAUAAGCUCCGGCUAACUCCGUGCCAGCCGCCGCGGUAA